rnacentral:rRNA from 1 species
UACGUAGGGACCAAGCGUUGUUCGGAUUUACUGGGCGUAAAGGGCGCGUAGGCGGCAAUUCAAGUCAUCUGUGAAAUCUCCGGGCUUAACUCGGAAUGGUCAGGUGAUACUGCUUUGCUAGAGUGCAGAAGGGGCAAUCGGAAUUCUUGGUGUAGCGGUGAAAUGCGUAGAUAUCAAGAGGAACACCUGAGGUGAAGACGGGUUGCUGGGCUGACACGUGACGCUGAGGCGCGAAAGCUAGGGGAGCAAACGGG